GGAAUGGGAAGGGCCCAGGGUACCCAGAGACAGCCACAAACAGGGCAGGAGAAGCAGGGACCCUCCUGGCUUGGUCCUCCUCGGCUGUUCUGUCACCCCUUUCCCUUGGCUCUGGGUGCAGCCGGGACCCUGCAGCGUGCUGUGACCAUCAGCACCUCUCUGCAGAAGACUCCUUGCUGCUGAGUGGUGUGUUGGGCUACGGGAUCUGUUCUGAGAGUGAUCAGAAGAGCUGGAGUCUUGUCUCUGUUCCCAUGCCAAAGGAAGGACAUCAGGAGCUGGAGAAGAAGAGAGUGGCUGCAUGUAAGAAGAAAGCUGGGAGUGGUGUUACCUCGGUAAUGACGCUGGAGCAACAUGACCAGCAGUUUCCAUGGAGCCCAAGUACUUUGGGUUGGCACUGUCUAGCAUCUUCUGUGCUGGGGUUUGCAUGUGGAUUUUUCCCCCAAAGCCUUGACCUGCUACAGGCUGGUGGGCUGCUGUGUAUGGCAUGGUGAUGGCCCUGUGUUUCUGUUAAUUAAUUUUCUGUUAGAAACAUGCACCAAAUUGUUCUCCUGGGGACCCAGAGCCAUAUGUGAGACUUGGGUGACUGUCCAUACCCUUAAAAAAAUGAUUAUGAGCCUGCAUUCACAGUGAAAACAUCCCCACAUCUCCCAAAUCUUUUGAAGGAGAUUUGUGGCUGAGUUGCUGGAGCCAAACAGGUUAAAGGUACCCACUGGUUUACAGCAAUUGUUGUAUGUGCCCCUGUCCCGUCCCUUCACUGAGUUUGGACAAUAAAAUUUUUGCUGCAUUUGCUGGCAGGUAGGCACAUGAGCAAACAAAUCCAGCCAAAUCUUUUUGGAGCAUCCCAGCUUUGUGCCCUGGUGCUGGGUUUCUCAUCCCAUAGCAAAGGGAUGUCUGUCCCUAGGUGAUGCAUCUGUUGUUCCUCACCUGCUGCACUUUAGUAUUCAGCAUUUUUUGCCUUGACAACAGCCAAAGAUGGUUUUAUACUUGCUGGAAACUUUCUCAUAAGGGAUAUUUUAUUUUGCCAUUAGGAGGGAAUUUUGUCCUGCUUUUGUCAAGAUAUAACAGAAAAUUUCUUGUGUGUGUUUGCAACCUCACUGGGAACCAAGAGUGAAGCACUGAGUGAGCAAGAAGAGCAUUUUGAGACAAGGUGCACACCCACAAUACAGUACUGGAUGUCCAAGCAGGCGUGGAAGACCAAGAUAGGCUGAUGCAGCGUAGUCUGCCCAUGGGAAACCUCUCCUUCAGGCCCCAUUGAUUUGGAGUCUCUUGUGCUUUGAAGUCUGCGGGAUCACAGCCCAUUUCAAAAAGCAUUAAUUCUGCCCCUUGCUGAUCCUACUUUUAAAACUUACCAGUGGGCAAAACCCUCUUGCGAAUGUUGGAGACCUCAGGUCUAUAACCACAGCCCUGAGGGGUGAGCUGAGACGCCUGACUGAAGGCACUUUGGUGUCUCAGCUUCCCCAGUCAAUAAAUGGGAAUGAUGCCAUGGGGAAGGGAAGUCUUCCACAUCUGUGAUAGCAAAGGUCAUGAUUAUAGCUAGUCUUCGUAGCUGUCAGCAACUACAUAAAUGUCCAUGGUCCUUUAAAUCCUACUCUCAUUCCCACUUCAACAGACUCUUGAAAGAGGAAUUUAGCAGGUUAAUUGUGUGAAAAUUGAGUGAGAAAUAUCUUAAACCACUGAGCCUCUGAAGCAGCAUGACAGCUUCUAGGAAAGCCAAUCCUGGUGUGGAUUUUUGGACCAGUGCUGGUUCUGAAUAAUUGCUGAGCUGACUACGUCUUCUCUCUGGGUAAAAACAAGCUAAAAUCCUCGAAUAGCCCUCCUCAAAAAGUAACCAAGAACAAGAAGCAAAAUCUUUAACUUUGAACCCAAUGAAUAUUUAGUUUCCUGACUCUUGGGUAAAUAUUAGAUAGAUUCCCAAUUUCAACCUGAAGCAGUUUAUUUGGCUGCUGUUCACAAGUCAGACACAGCAAUAAUCAAGGAAAUCUCGUUUGAUUCAGGUUGGGUAAUAUUGCCUGAGGGAUAACAUCAUUUUCACUUCCACACAUCCAGCACUGGCACAAAAUGGUAUGGACAGGUAUGAAAAAUGCAUCAUGGAUCCUUGGUGCUGAGAUUCCAGCUGAUAGUUUCAUUUUUAUGUAAAUAAUAAUUACCAGUAAAAAUGUUGCUUGAAAAAAGAGAAUGUGAAAAUAAAAACACUGUUGAGUUUGAUAAAGCAAAAUCCUUUGCAGUAUUGCC